ensembl:snoRNA
UUGUUGAAAUGUUUCCCACUCCUUGCCCCCUCAAAAAAAGAGGGGUGCUGGUGUGGGGACAGACGAGAGAAAAGGAGAAAAGUGGCUUCAGCUCAGUGGAACACUA